UUUUUUUUCUUGCUCUUGGCUGCCAAGUAUUUUUGUAAGAGUUCUCCAGAGGCUCUCAUACGGCAGCUAUUCACCGUGGCCGAGUUUUCUAGAAAGGCAUGCAAAGUGGUCAGCCGGACACCUCGCUGACCAACAGAGGGGGAAAACACAGAGGAGAAUAAGUAUAUGAGACUUGAACUUGCAACACCCACAUAAGCACCACAGCUCAAUGUAUCAGAGGGUAUCUCUUGUGUGAGGACCACUGAACCCUGUUUCAGAUUAAAGUUUUCCUUUCAACGCCGUGGCGAGGAGCUGUUCUGAAGCCAACGCGAAGCAGGUCCAACAACAUGCCUCUCUGCACGAGCGAGAAGCCUAAUUUUCACAUCUGCUGAAGGAAAUGAGGGAGAAGGCCAACACGGGUCAGAUCAACAGGAAGUAAUUUUACUCUACAGACGGGAUGAGUCGAUGUACGGAAAAGCCAAGAAUCUUGAUUUCUGUAAUGUUUAUCUUUAAAACAAUAAAGAGCAAAGUUUUUUUAUUAAAGGAAUAGUUCACCCAAAACAUUUCUUACAAUACAUUUCUUUGUUCUGAUAAAGAUAUUUUGAGGAAAGUUUGUAACCAAACCGAUCAGAAGCCCCACUGACAUCAAUAGUCUUCCCAAACAUGUAAUAUACCCACCCACAUUUCCCCCCUCCCAGCACGACACACAAAAGGCCUCAAGAUCUUACAAGAGAAAAUCAAUCCUGCGUCUCUCCUCACAUCUGACCUCUGCACUCUCCACAAAUCCUGAAUUAAUUAAAGAGGGAAAUCCCACUGGCCAGCACAGAAGAGGGAUUGAGAGUUUCUGGCCCCCUCCGUGGUACGAGAGGAUUAGAGGAGCUGACUCAAUGAUGAGAGUGUUUCCAAACCUGCAGGCACAAAAGGACAAGAAAUCAGAGAGCUUUCCAAAAGUGAUUUGACAGGAGUUCACGUUUAACAAGAGGCUUGCACGCUCGAGUCAAUCAACCCUGGCCUUGACCCGUUCGCUGUCCCAGAGAUCCAGGUUGUUCUGGGUUUGGUUGCUUAGUCUCCUGGCUGCUGACCCACUUGGAAAUCCAGCGCCGUAGCUUUGGCUUACACGGGUCGGCCCCGUGGCAGGUUCCCAGUGGUACAUACCCCGCGAUAAGGAGCUGCAAGGGAACUAUUGUUCCUUGAGACCAUUCUGUCAUCGGUGGCUUGUUGAGCAAAUACGCCCAGGUAUGACCGCAGUCCCAGAAUCUCGCACUCCACCUACCUGCUACUUCAUGUUGGAUCUCGGAAAAACCCUUUCCGACGAAGGAGCCGAGUCUUUAAAGAAUUUGCCUUUCAAAGCCUAAAGCCAACGGCCAGUUUGGACUACAGCCCUCUACUUCCUGCUUUAAUGACGUCCGCCCAAAGGAAUACGUCACUCGCCAGCUAAGCUAACGGCAAGCUAAGCUGCUAUCGAAUCACAAGACACUAAACAAACUACACAAUCAGAACUCGAUACGAGGGAAUUAAUAAAACAAAGAAGACAUCAGCCUGUUUUGAGGAUAGUGAAAACAGCGCUAUACAGAUAAGUGAAUUGUUUGAAAAAUAUCGCGUUUUUUACACCUGAAACAUGAACACAUGUUAUAUUACGCUCUGUAAACACAAUCAAAGCUUCAAAAACACAGAAAGAACGGGACCUUAAAAAUCCCUAUAAAGUCAGAUAUUAAAUGUGUUCACA